UACGAAGGGGGCUAGCGUUGUUCGGAAUUACUGGGCGUAAAGGGCGCGCAGGCGGCUCUUCAAGUCAGAUGUGAAGCCCCGGGCUCAACCUGGGAACUGCAUUUGAGACUGGAGAGCUUGAGUUCGGGAGAGGAUGGUGGAAUUCCCAGUGUAGAGGUGAAAUUCGUAGAUAUUGGGAAGAACACCGGUGGCGAAGGCGGCCAUCUGGACCGAGUACUGACGCUGAGGCGCGAAAGCGUGGGGAGCAAACAGGG
rnacentral:rRNA from 1 species